rnacentral:rRNA from 1 species
AGAACGAACGCUGGCGGCAUGCCUAACACAUGCAAGUCGAACGAGACCUUCGGGUCUAGUGGCGCACGGGUGCGUAACGCGUGGGAAUCUGCCCUUCGGUUCGGAAUAACAGUUAGAAACGACUGCUAAAUACCGGAUAAUGACGUAAGUCCAAAGAUUUAUCGCCGAAGGAUGAGCCCGCGUAAGAUUAGCUAGUUGGUGAGGUAAAGGCUCACCAAGGCUACGAUCUUUAGCUGGUCUGAGAGGAUGAUCAGCCACACUGGGACUGAGACACGGCCCAGACUCCUACGGGAGGCAGCAGUGGGAAUAUUGGACAAUGGGCGAAAGCCUGAUCCAGCAAUGCCGCGUGGAUGAAGAAGGUCUUCGGAUUGUAAAGUCCUUUCGGCGGGGACGAUGAUGACGGUACCCGCAGAAGAAGCCCCGGCUAACUUCGUGCCAGCAGCCGC